rnacentral:rRNA from 1 species
UGGGGAAUCUUGCGCAAUGCGCGAAAGCGUGACGCAGCAACACCGCGUGGGGGAAGAAGGCCUUCGGGUUGUAAACCCCUUUCAGGAGGGACGAAGGCCGGCCAGUGAAUAGCUGUGCCGGUUGACGGUACCUCCACAAGAAGCCCCGGCUAACUACGUGCCAGCAGCCGCGGUAAUACGUAGGGGGCAAGCGUUGUCCGGAAUCAUUGGGCGUAAAGCGAGCGUAGGCGGCCCGAUAAGUCUGCUGUAAAAGUCAACGGCUCAACCGUUGAAAGCCGGUGGAUACUGUCGGGCUAGAGUUCGGAAGAGGCAAGUGGAAUUCCUGGUGUAGCGGUGGAAUGCGCAGAUAUCAGGAGGAACACCUAUAGCGAAGGCAGCUUGCUGGGACGAUACUGACGCUAAGGCUCGAAAGCGUGGGGAGCGAACAG